UAUUGAGAGAAAUAAAGGUACUUUACUCUUGAACGAAGUUCGUAUUUUUUGACAUACCUCGUAUAAUAUGGACAAAAUUUGAUAUCUGAUGAUUGAAUCUUAGGUUUUAGAGCAUGCAGAACUUUUUAUAAAGAAUAACUUUUUUUCGUAAAAUGAAUAACCAAAAAGUUUCCCAUAUGUUUCCAACUUAAGUAGACACGCUGUAUAAUAUAUUAAAAAUGAGCAAUACCAACGGAAAUCCUCCACGCAAAAAUUAUACUGAGAGAGAGAAAUGUUUGCUGUUGGAAAUAAUUGGAAAGUAAGUACGAAAUUGUCUAACUUAUAGAACAAAUUUCUAAUUGUAUUUUUGUUUUCAGAUACAAGCAUAUUAUAAUUGAAAACAAAUAAUGUACCAAUGCUAUGUCCACCAACCAAACCAAAAAAUAGCGCUGAAUUUCCCAGAACUCCCAAGCAGCUGAACACUGCAUAAUAUAUAAACUUAAAAAGGGUCACUCGCCAAAAAAUAGCAGAGGAAAAUAUUCAAAAAUAUAAUGAGCAGAAGGUUUUGGGCCAGUUGAAGAGAGACCAAACUGCGGACAAAGUAGCAGAAAGACAUACUUGCAACAGGUGGUGGCACAUUUAGACCUCGUCUCACAGAUGUAGGGGCACAAAUGUUGAGUUUGAUUGGCAAUCAAAUCCAACCUUUACCCAACAGUUGUGACAGUGCAUCUGGUUUCUCCACAUCUGUUGCACAAGAUAGUCAAGUGGAGAUAGAUUACCUACAAUUGGAAGACACAUAGCAGACGUCCAAUGUACCCUCCACUUCCACUGUGCUGCUCAGUACACCCACAACAACUGCUGUCCUGCCCAAGAAGACAGCCAAGAUGUCUCAGGCUCGUUCAAAAAAUAAAAAAGUAAAAGAUGUAGGGAGCGAAACCCUUAAUGUAUCUUUUACAAAAAAGAAUUGAAACAGCAAGACUAGAAAAAAGAAGUAAGAUAGUAUUUUUCAACAAGAAAAAAGAAAUUUUAGAAGUAGAGCUUCAAAUAAAAAAAUUCGAACUCAAUAAAUUAUUAGGUAAUAGUGGUUAGGUAUGUACCUAAUAAAGUAAUUUUAAAUAAAAAUUGUAAUUUCUUUAAAUAAUAAAAUUAAUAAAAAAUGUGUUUUUCAAAGUUUA